GUAUGUUUAAAUUCGUUUAAUCACCUAAAUAGGCUAAAGUUUGAAUAUUGCUUGUUGUGCUGUGAUUUUUUAUUUAUGAGUUUUUUUGUGAUAGUUGUUUGUAAUUACUGAAAUUCAGAGGUCUAAAAGAAAUGGAAAAAAUGGAGGAAUCUGUUUUGUUUGGUUGGAAAUACAUUAAAAUGGGGAAUAAGUUUAAAUGUUGGGGUAAGAAUUGGAUGAUAAAAAGUUUAAAAGGGUCUGGGAAUAAAAGAAGCUUCUAGACCCAAUCUGUUAAGAAAAGAGAUGAGAGCGAGAGGAAAUAUCCAAACACUGGACAGCGGUCCAUUUUUCUAUUUUAGAAGAUGCCAAUUUCCUAAUUUUAAGGGGAUGCUGGCAGAUUCCCUCAACCUCUCUCGUUCUUUAUCAUUUUGCACUCUUAUACCCUAUAAAAGAGACCUCACACUCCCUCGGACUGGACACACGAAAAAUACCUCAGAAAAUUGAAGACUAUCUUUCAGAAAUUCCUCUUUUCAUUCUCAUUCUGAUUUUCGUUUCUUCUUGAGUUUAAAUCUAUAAAUAGAAAAAAAAAAGAGGAAGAAUUUCAAAGCUGUUGGUUCUUUCCACUUUGCUAUUGGUCUUUUUUUUUGCUCGAAUUAUGAUGGGAUUUCUAGUUGGUUGUUGUUUCUCUUGUUCUUGAAUUGCUGGGAUUCUUCUUUUGUUGGCCACAUUUCAUUUUGUCGAUCUUUUACUCAUGACAAUGGUAUCCAAGGUCAUUAUCUCCCGACGCACAAUGAAUUCUCAGUUGUGGGGAAUCAGAAGGAAGUUUGUUGAUAACAUGUACCUGAAACUUCGUAGUAAAGAUGCAUUUUUUUGCUAUUGAAAGGUUAAGGGGCAUUAACAACAAGAAGAUGUUGAUCAAGGAGAGAGUCAUAUUGAGAAAAUAAUAAGUAUGGCAAAAAGUAAAGGAGGUUCUAGAGUUUUAUACACAAAAUCUUGAUAUGGAUUCCUGCAAUUUGUACCUUUCUGAAAUCCUUUAAUGUUUUUUUUACACUCUCGUUAAA